rnacentral:tRNA from 2 species
GUCCCAGUAGCUCAGCGGAUAGAGCGCUUCCCUGCGGAGGAAGAGGCCGAGCGUUCAAAUCGCUCCUGGGAUA